rnacentral:rRNA from 1 species
UACGGGGGGAGCAAGCGUUGUUCGGAUUUACUGGGCGUAAAGGGUGCGUAGGCGGCGAGGCAAGUCUGGUGUGAAAUCCCGGGGCUCAACCCCGGAACUGCACUGGAUACUGCUUUGCUAGAGUACUGGAGAGGGAACUGGAAUUUACGGUGUAGCAGUGAAAUGCGUAGAUAUCGUAGGGAAGACCAGCGGCGAAGGCGAGUUCCUGGACAGUUACUGACGCUGAGGCACGAAGGCCAGGGGAGCAAACGGG